ACCAGUUUUCAGUUUGCACUCAAGAUUGUGCUCAAUAUGUUAAUACAGCAGAAAUUCAAACUGUUAUUGUCGUUGGAGAAAGGGACUGAUUAGAUGGCUCGCUCCCUCCCUCUCUGUUUCUUCAGAGAGCCAGCAGGGAAGAAAACCUAUUCUUGCCAGGAAGACCUGCUGGGGAUAUGAUCAGCCAGUGGGUGUAGAAGCAAAAGGUUUCCUGUAUAGACUGCAGCAGACAACUAAAGUGGAAGGAACAACCUGUCUUGACCUGGCUGCAAUAAUUUCCUUGCUGGACACUUUGUUCCAUUUCAUAAUCUUAAAAUCUAACUCGGUUUGAUUUCCUGCUAAGAGGUGGUCUUGUCUAUUUAUACUGCAGCCACAGUGUUUUUCUUUGGCAGAAUCUCUCGUGUGUGACUGACUCAUUUCCCUGGCUCUCCACACUUUAGCCCACAUAUCGCAGAAUAGAUAAUCAUCCUCAGUAAAUGAGCACUUGCUGGGAUAUGUGCUGGACUGAUUCAUCUGUUUAUCCUGAAUGCACUAUUUUUGAAUUUAAAAGAAGUAAAUGAUUUUAAAGUCUG